rnacentral:rRNA from 1 species
UGGGGAAUAUUGCACAAUGGGGGAAACCCUGAUGCAGCGACGCCGCGUGAGCGAAGAAGGUUUUCGAAUCGUAAAGCUCUGUCCUAUGGGAAGAUAAUGACGGCACCAUAGGAGGAAGCCCCGGCUAACUACGUGCCAGCAGCCGCGGUAAUACGUAGGGGGCAAGCGUUGUCCGGAAUAACUGGGCGUAAAGGGUUCGCAGGCGGAAAUGCAAGUCAGUUGUGAAAGGCAGAGGCUCAACCUCUGUAAGCAAUUGAAACUGUAGUUCUUGAGAUGUAGAGAGGCAAGUAGAAUUCCUAGUGUAGCGGUGAAAUGCGUAGAUAUUAGGAAAAAUACCGGUGGCGAAGGCGACUUGCUGAACACAAACUGACGCAGAGGAACGAAAGCGUGGGUAGCAAACAGG